UACGAAGGGGGCUAGCGUUGUUCGGAAUCACUGGGCGUAAAGCGCACGUAGGCGGCUUCUUAAGUCAGGGGUGAAAUCCUGGAGCUCAACUCCAGAACUGCCUUUGAUACUGAGGAGCUAGAGUCCGGGAGAGGUGAGUGGAACUCCGAGUGUAGAGGUGAAAUUCGUAGAUAUUCGGAAGAACACCAGUGGCGAAGGCGGCUCACUGGCCCGGUACUGACGCUGAGGUGCGAAAGCGUGGGGAGCAAACAGG
rnacentral:rRNA from 1 species